GCUUGUCGGAUCCGAUUAGUUUUCAGCUGUUCAUCAACAGGGUGCACAGCGGAUUUAUCAAUGCGGCUCUUGCGGAAAAGCUGCACUCCACAGCCCAGGUUUUUACAGGGUG